GACGAACGCUGGCGGCGUGCUUAACACAUGCAAGUCGAACGGAAAGUCCCUGCCUUUGUGGGGUGCUCGAGUGGCGAACGGGUGAGUAACACGUGAGUAACCUGCCCUUGACUUUGGGAUAUCUUCAUGAAACUGGGGCUAAUACCGGAUAGGAGUUCUUGCUGCAUGGUGGGGGUUGGAAAGUUUCGGCGGUUGGGGAUGGACUCGCGGCUUAUCAGCUUGUUGGUGGGGUAGUGGCUUACCAAGGCUUUGACGGGUAGCCGGCCUGAGAGGGUGACCGGCCACAUUGGGCCUGAGAUACGGCCCAGACUCCUACGGGAGGCAGCAGUGGGGAAUAUUGCACAAUGGGCGGAAGCCUGAUGCAGCAACGCCGCGUGCGGGAUGACGGCCUUCGGGUUGUAAACCGCUUUCGCCUGUGACGAAGCGUGAGUGACGGUAAUGGGUAAAGAAGCACCGGCUAACUACGUG
rnacentral:rRNA from 1 species